CCUACGGGAGGCAGCAGUGGGGAAUAUUGCACAAUGGGGGAAACCCUGAUGCAGCGACGCCGCGUGAGUGAAGAAGUAUUUCGGUAUGUAAAGCUCUAUCAGCAGGGAAGAAGCAAGACGGUACCUUACUCCGAUGCGCCGGCUAAAUACGGGCCAGCAGCCUCGGUAAUACGUAGGGGGCAAGCGUUAUCCGGAUUUACUGGGGGUAAAGGGAGCGUAGACGGUAUGGCAAGUCUGGAGUGAAAUCCCAGGGCUUAACCCUGGGACUGCUGUGGAAACUGGUAGACUAGAGUGCGGGAGAGGUAAGUGGAAUUCCUAGUGUAGCGGUGAAAUGCGUAGAUAUUAGGAGGAACACCAGUGGCGAAGGCGGCUUACUGGACAGUAACUGACGUUGAGGCUCGAAAGCGUGGGGAGCAAACAGGAUUAGAUACCCCAGUAGUC
rnacentral:rRNA from 1 species